GAGAUACUAGUAAAACUAUUACACUACCUUGUCAAGGUAGAAUUGCGGGUUAAACUCCCACGUAUUUUA
rnacentral:tRNA from 1 species